GACGAACGCUGGCGGCGUGCUUAACACAUGCAAGUCGAACGGAAAGGCCCUGCUUUUGUGGGGUGCUCGAGUGGCGAACGGGUGAGUAACACGUGAGUAACCUGCCCUUGACUUUGGGAUAACUUCAGGAAACUGGGGCUAAUACCGGAUAGGAGCUCCUGCUGCAUGGUGGGGGUUGGAAAGUUUCGGCGGUUGGGGAUGGACUCGCGGCUUAUCAGCUUGUUGGUGGGGUAGUGGCUUACCAAGGCUUUGACGGGUAGCCGGCCUGAGAGGGUGACCGGCCACAUUGGGACUGAGGUACGGCCCAGACUCCUACGGGGGGCAGCAGUGGGGAAUAUUGCACAAUGGGCGGAAGCCUGAUGCAGGAACGCCGCGUGCGGGAUGACGGCCUUCGUGUUGUAAACCGCUUUCGCCUGUGACGAAGCGUGCGUGACGGUAAUGGGUAAAGAAGCACCGGCUAACUACGUG
rnacentral:rRNA from 1 species